ACCCUCUCAGAAUUGCAUCUGGAGAGUUUCUACUACUCUACCAGUCUCGGCUGUGGGAAGGAGAGUCAAGUAGAGGCAUAAUUAUUCCAUUCCUAGCUUGGGCAGUGGCUAGCCAGUGGAAGGCAAUCUACUACACUC